rnacentral:lncRNA from 1 species
AUGUCGGAUGGCGCUGGAGAGGUUCAUCCGCUGGAGGGGUUCGAUUGCUGGAGUCCGUGCGUCGUAGGAGUUCGUCCGAAAUCUGUCUGCUGCAGAAGUUUGGUCGGAGUUCGAUCUCCGUAGAAGUCCGGAUGGGGAUCAUUUGUCAAGGAAGCUCGGUCGAAGCCUGCCUGCAAUAGAAGUUCAGAAGGAAUUCGUUCACAAUAGAAGCUCAGCUGGAGGCUUACAGUAGAAAUCUAAC